ACUUAAAUUGAAGAGUUUGAUCAUGGCUCAGAUUGAACGCUGGCGGCAGGCCUAACACAUGCAAGUCGAGCGGUAACACAGAGAGCUUGCUCUCGGGUGACGAGCGGCGGACGGGUGAGUAAUGUCUGGGAAACUGCCUGAUGGAGGGGGAUAACUACUGGAAACGGUAGCUAAUACCGCAUAACGUCGCAAGACCAAAGUGGGGGACCUUCGGGCCUCAUGCCAUCAGAUGUGCCCAGAUGGGAUUAGCUAGUAGGUGGGGUAAUGGCUCACCUAGGCGACGAUCCCUAGCUGGUCUGAGAGGAUGACCAGCCACACUGGAACUGAGACACGGUCCAGACUCCUACGGGAGGCAGCAGUGGGGAAUAUUGCACAAUGGGCGCAAGCCUGAUGCAGCCAUGCCGCGUGUAUGAAGAAGGCCUUCGGGUUGUAAAGUACUUUCAGCGAGGAGGAAGGCAUUAAGGUUAAUAACCUUGGUGAUUGACGUUACUCGCAGAAGAAGCACCGGCUAACUCCGUGCCAGCAGCCGCGGUAAUACGGAGGGUGCAAGCGUUAAUCGGAAUUACUGGGCGUAAAGCGCACGC
rnacentral:rRNA from 1 species